rnacentral:rRNA from 1 species
AGCGAACGCUGGCGGCAUGCCUAAUACAUGCAAGUCGAACGGCAGCCCAGUGAGAGCUUGCUCUCACGGGGGGCGAGUGGCGGACGGGAGAGGAAUAUAUCGGAAUCUACUCUUCCGUGGGGGAUAACGAAUGGCAACUUACGCUAACACCGCAUACGAUCUACGGGUGAAAGCAGGGGAUCCUCGGACCUUGCGCGGGUGAAUGAGCCGAUGUCGGACUAGCUAGCUGGCGGGGUGAAGGCCCACCAAGGCGACGAUCCGUAGCUCGUCUGAGAGGAUGAUCGGCCACACUGGCGCUGAGGCACGGCCCAGAGUCCUGCGGGAGGAAGCAGUGCAGAAUAUUAGGCAAUGGGGGCAAACCUGAUCCAGCCAUACCGCGUGGGUGAUGAAGGCCUUCGGGUUGUAAAGCCAUUUUGUUGGGAGAGAAGAACAGCAGGUUAGGACGCCGCUGUACUGACGGUACCCAAAGAAUAAGCACCGGCUAACUUCGUG